GAUCCUGGCUCAGAUUGAACGCUAGCGGCAGGCUUAAUACAUGCAAGUCGAGGGGCAGCACGGUUAGCAAUAACUGGUGGCGACCGGCGCACGGGUGCGUAACACGUAUACAAUCUACCUUAAACAGGGGGAUAGCCUUUCGAAAGAGAGAUUAAUACCCCGUAAUAAAUUGAACGGCAUCGUUUGAUUUUGAAAGCUCCGGCGGUUUGAGAUGAGUAUGCGUCUGAUUAGCUAGUUGGUGAGGUAACGGCUCACCAAGGCGACGAUCAGUAGGGGACCUGAGAGGACUAACCCCCCACACUGGUACUGAGACACGGACCAGACUCCUACGGGAGGCAGCAGUAAGGAAUAUUGGUCAAUGGAGGCAACUCUGAACCAGCCAUGCCGCGUGCAGGAUGACGGCCCUAUGGGUUGUAAACUGCUUUUAUACAAGAGAAAACCCUGGUACGUGUACCAAGUUGAUAGUAUUGUAAGAAUAAGCAUCGGCUAACUUCGUG
rnacentral:rRNA from 1 species